rnacentral:lncRNA from 1 species
GGCAUAUGUAUUAAAGCCCUGUACAGGGAGAUAUCUAAGUCGUAAUGCAUGAAGGUCAGAGUAGUCGAACCCUGAAACAGGGGAGAUUUUAACUAAUAAACUGUACUAAUUGGCCCAACCAAAAAUUCUAGAAAAAAAUAUGUAGAUGGAUAUAGAGUCUAGUUUCAGGGAAAAUUCACGGAAUCAGUUUUAGAGUUUUGGAACUCGAGAUAUGAUUUUGAAGGUGACAGUGACGCAGUUAGCCAGCUUGUCUGGAAAUUUUAAAAUGAACUGUGUAAAUAAAUGAAUUAAGUUCGUUAACACCUCGUGUUCGACUCCGGCAACGGUCUCGGGUGCGGGGCGUUACAAACCCCAUGAUGAUUUUUGGACCUGGAGUGGUGAGCCUUCAGGAAAAUACACAAUACGUAGUGCCUAUAAACUAUUACAAAGCAUGGAAGAAGAUCUUAGAGCUUAUGCUUUAAAACUAACUAUAGGGAAUUUUAUAAAAAAAUUAUGGCUACUCAAUCUACCCUUAAAAAUAAAAAUUACAGUCUGGAAAAUAUCAUGGAACUAUCUACUUGUAUAAGUCAACAUGAAACAUAGGAAGUUAUCAAACACUACAACCUGCCCCCGGAGUGAAAAAGGAACAGAGAAUAUGAACCACCUCCUCCAUGAAUGUCCUGUUUCAGUAUCAGUAUGGAGAGAGUUAUCAUGCCAGAAUUUUCUAUAAGAACCUCAUUUGGAGUUUUUACAAUGGCUAACCUAGGUGUUUGUGCAGAGUACUCCAUCCCGUUAUAGGAUUUUUUACUGUGUCUUAUGGGUAAUUUGGGGAGACAGGAAUGCUAGAAUGCAUAAGAAGGUAAGCAAAUCUGGAAAAGAAAUAGUGAGUUUAGUUAGUAGCAACAUUUCAGAGUUAAACAAGAUUGAAAAAAGAAGCCCCCAAAUUUCUCCAACAGUUAGUAAGUGGAACAACCCACUUGACCAGUUCGUGAAGAUAAAUUUUGAUGUAGCAUAUGAUGGGAGACUUUGUCAAUCGACAGUGGGGAUUGUGGCUAGAAAUAGUGAAGGCAAUGUUCUGUUAUCAUGUGCAGAGAUCCAUCAACAAGUAGCAUCAGCCUUUGCUGCUGAGGCUCUUGUGUGCUGCAAAGCAACCCAAAUUGGCAUCGACAUGCAAUGGCCAAAGAUUAUCAUUGAAGGCGAUUCAUUAUCAAUAAUAAAAAAGUGCAAGGUGAAAAGUCCAGAUAAGUCACUGGUAGGUGCUUAUAUACAUGAUAUUCAACAGCUACUGUUAAAAUCUAGAAACUGUAGAUUUGAAUAUAUCCCACGAAUAUCAAAUAGUCUAGCACAUAUUUUAGCUAUUGAAACGUUGAAGAAGGAGCUUUACCUGCUAGGAAACGUCCCUGAAUAUGUAGAAAAGAAAACAGAAAGAGAUAGGAUGAGAGAACCAGACUAAAAAUGAAGGGGAAAAGAUGAAAUAUAGAGAGUUUGAAAAUGGAAAUCAACGGAUUUAGUGGAAAAAAGCUCUCCUUGGUAAUCUGGAAGCUUUUUAGGGAUAGGGUGAGAGAACAUGACUGAAAAUGAAGGAAAAAGAUUAAAUAUAGAGAGUUUUAAAUAGAAAACCAAUGGAUUCGGUGGAAAAAGCUCUCCUUGGAAGUCUGAAAGCGUUCUAAAGAAGAAAUGGCAGAUGAUAAGACAAGACAUGCAGCAAAUUGGUUUCUGAUUGGAAGAGUAAUGGCAGUUUUAAUGCGGUUCUAGAGUCUUUUGAUUUUUCUUUGCUUGAAUUUUCCUGGCCAAACAUUAAUUUGGGCGUUC